GUACUUGCCCGGCAGGGGGAGCCGUGAUGGCGAAGGUUGUCUCCCCAGGGCGAGGCUUGGCCACUGCACUCGGGGGUGCCCGCCCUUGCGACUUCCCCAGACGUGGGAACUUGCUGCAUAGUGUGUGGAGUGGGCGCCUGCGUUUGCGCUCUCCCCUG